rnacentral:rRNA from 1 species
UACGAAGGGGGCUAGCGUUGCUCGGAAUCACUGGGCGUAAAGGGUGCGUAGGCGGGUCUUAAGUCAGGGGUGAAAUCCUGGAGCUCAACUCCAGAACUGCCUUUGAUACUGAAGGAUCUUGAGUUCGGGAGAGGUGAGUGGAACUGCGAGUGUAGAGGUGAAAUUCGUAGAUAUUCGCAAGAACACCAGUGGCGAAGGCGGCUCACUGGCCCGAUACUGACGCUGAGGCACGAAAGCGUGGGGAGCAAACAGG